AUUGAACGCUGGCGGCAUGCCUUACACAUGCAAGUCGAACGGCAGCGCGGGGCAACCUGGCGGCGAGUGGCGAACGGGUGAGUAAUAUAUCGGAACAUACCCUAGAGUGGGGGAUAACGUAGCGAAAGUUACGCUAAUACCGCAUACGCACUAAGGUGGAAAGUGGGGGAUCUUCGGACCUCAUGCUCAUGGAGUGGCCGAUAUCUGAUUAGCUAGUUGGUGAGGUAAAGGCUCACCAAGGCGACGAUCAGUAGCUGGUUUGAGAGAACGACCAGCCACACUGGAACUGAGACACGGUCCAGACUCCUACGGGAGGCAGCAGUGGGGAAUUUUGGACAAUGGGGGCAACCCUGAUCCAGCAAUGCCGCGUGAGUG
rnacentral:rRNA from 1 species